AUGGUUAGCUCACAAAGCUGUAAUCAGAGGUUACUUUAUUAAACACGCUAGCUAUGCCAAAAAGAAACGCCUCGAGAAUUACACUAACAUACUGAAGGAACUAACUGAGGCUACACACUCAAACAAGCUAACUCCAACCCCUUCCCACCAUGCCAACAUCUUACGAUUGCAGGGCCAGUUGCGUGACUUUGAAUUAGCCAAGUCAACACUAAUGCUGCGAAGGAUGAAACAUGGUUUCUUUGCUUCGGG